AGCAGCCGCGGUAAUUCCAGCUCCAAUAGCGUAUAUUAAAGUUGUUGCAGUUAAAAAGCUCGUAGUUGAAUUUCGGGGUCAGUAGGUUGGUCAUGCCACUGGUAUGUACUGGUCUCACUGAUUCCUCCUUCCUGAUGAACUGUAAUGCCAUUAAUUUGGUGUUGCAGGGAAUCUGGACUGUUACUUUGAAAAAAUUAGAGUGUUUAAAGCAAGCUAACGCUUGAAUACAUUAGCAUGGAAUAAUGAAAUAGGACGUUCGAUCCUAUUUUGUUGGUUUCUAGGAUUGACGUAAUGAUUAAUAGGGAUAGUUGGGGGCAUUAGUAUUCAAUUGUCAGAGGUGAAAUUCUUGGAUUUAUUGAAGACUAACUACUGCGAAAGCAUUUGCCAAGGAUGUUUUCAUUAAUCAAGAACGAAAGUUAGGGGAUCGAAGACGAUCAGAUACCGUCGUAG
rnacentral:rRNA from 1 species